rnacentral:rRNA from 1 species
GACGAACGCUGGCGGCGUGCUUAACACAUGCAAGUCGAACGGAAAGGCCCUGCUUUUGUGGGGUGCUCGAGUGGCGAACGGGUGAGUAACACGUGAGUAACCUGCCCUUGACUUUGGGAUAACUUCAGGAAACUGGGGCUAAUACCGGAUAGGAGCUCCUGCUGCAUGGUGGGGGUUGGAAAGUUUCGGCGGUUGGGGAUGGACUCGCGGCUUAUCAGCUUGUUGGUGGGGUAGUGGCUUACCAAGGCUUUGACGGGUAGCCGGCCUGAGAGGGUGACCGGCCACAUUGGGACUGAGAUACGGCCCAGACGCCUACGGGAGGCAGCAGUGGGGAAUAUUGCACAAUGGGCGGAAGCCAGAUGCAGCAACGCCGCGUGCGGGAUGACGGCCUUCGGGUGGUAAACCGCUUUCGCCUGUGACGAAGCGUGAGUGACGGUAAUGGGUAAAGAAGCACCGGCUAACUACGUG